rnacentral:rRNA from 1 species
AGUGAACGCUGGCGGUAGGCCUAACACAUGCAAGUCGAACGGCAGCACAGUAAGAGCUUGCUUUUACGGUUGGCGAGUGGCGGACGGGUGAGGAAUACAUCGGAAUCUACUUUUUCGUGGGGAUAACGUAGGGAAACUUACGCUAAUACCGCAUACGACUUACGGGUGAAAGCAGGGGAUCUUCGGACCUUGCGCGAUUGAAUGAGCCGAUGUCGGAUUAGCUAGUUGGCGGGGUAAAGGCCCACCAAGGCGACGAUCCGUAGCUGGUCUGAGAGGAUGAUCAGCCACACUGGAACUGAGACACGGUCCAGACUCCUACGGGAGGCAGCAGUGGGGAAUAUUGGACAAUGGGCGCAAGCCUGAUCCAGCCAUACCGCGUGGGUGAAGAAGGCCUUCGGGUUGUAAAGCCCUUUUGUUGGGAAAGAAAAGCAGCAGGUUAAUACCCCGCUGUUCUGACGGUACCCAAAGAAUAAGCACCGGCUAACUUCGUG